rnacentral:rRNA from 1 species
AUUGAACGCUGGCGGCAUGCCUUACACAUGCAAGUCGAACGGCAGCACGGGUGCUUGCACCUGGUGCGAGUUGGCGAACGGGUGAGUAAUACAUCGGAAUGUACCUUGUAGUGGGGGAUAGCUCGGCGAAAGCCGGAUUAAUACCGCAUACGCUCUGAGGAGGAAAAUCGGGGGACCUUCGGGCCUCGUGACUACAAGAGCAGCCGAUGUCAGAUUAGCUUGUUGGUGAGGUAAAAGCUCACCAAGGACGACGAUCUGUAGCUAGGUCUGAGAGGACGACCAGCCACACUGGGACUGAGACACGGCCCAGACUCCUACGGGAGGCUAGCAGUGGGGAAUUUUGGACAAUGGGCGAAAGCCUGAUCCAGCAAUGCCG